rnacentral:lncRNA from 1 species
UAACCAAACUGCAGUCAAUGUUUAAAUUUGAAGCAUGACUUCUGCGAUCUCGCAACAAUUUAGUACAUCGAUCAUUCAAAUAAUGCAUGUAGAUCAACAUACAACACCAAUGUUGUAAAAUAUCAUCUUAAAGUUUGCGCAUAAGCAGAGGAGCACCAUACUGAGGAUGAAUAGUCACUAUUGCAAAUGGAGCAUGUGUAUAUGAUGGUGAUAGUUCGAAGGAGAACUUUUGUAGUAUCAUUGCUAUUGCCAUUUUUGCUUCCAUCAUUGCAAAGUUUUGUCCGAUGCAAACACGCGGUCCCCAGCUAAAUGGUAUAAAAGAGACUUGUCCUUUGGUUGCCUUUGACACUCCUUCACUGAAUCUUUCUGGUUUGAAUUCCUUUGCGUCUUCACCCCAUAUCUCCUUAUCAUAAUGUACUAGGAUUGCGGGUAUGAUGAGUUGCAUUUCGGCUGGUAGGUUUAGCUCCCCUAAUUUCACUUCUUCUUUAUUCAUUCUACCAAUUACUGGCAAUGGGGGGAAUAGCCUUAAUGUCUCGUACAAGAUCAUUGUUACCUAAGGAAAAAAGUACUGCAUAAAUUGACAGUAGAAUGAGAGUGUUUGGGUAAAGCUUUGACCAAAAGUCCUUUUAACCCAAAAAAAACCAAAAGCUAUAAGUUGAUUAGCCGCAGCUUAUGAUUUUUCUGCUUAUAACUUUUAUAGCACUUUUGGUCUAUUUUUACAACUGUCUAUUUUCACAAUCCAUUUCAACACAUAAGAAUGUUUUUCGACACUUAGCUUGUUUAUGUUUAUUAACUAAUCUCAAUUAGUUAAAGCCAAUUGAGCUCUCUAAGUUCAUUUCUUGUCUCGACAGUCCAGUAGAAUAACUAUAUUGAGGACACAAAACGUAGUAAUUAUAACAUUGGAAGAAAAGUACUUACAAUUUUCAAGCGAUUUAGUCUUUCCAAAUCUGGUUUAUUAUUUCCAAAGACGUGCAACACCUCCUCUCUGGCACGUACUUGCCACUCUGGAUGUAAGCACAGCAAAAUCAUUGUCCAGACGAGCAACACUGAAGUAGUCUCUUGUCCAGCAAAAUAGAAUAACUUGCACUCUUCAAUCACUUCAACUGUUGUCAUUCCGAAAUCUUUGCUUCCGUGUUGUUCAAUUUCUUUCAUAUUGGAUUCAAGUAAUAUGCCUAAUAAGUCAUCUUUACUAGGCUCCCCUGCUUCCAUUGCCCUCAAUCUUUUGUCGAUGAUACACCUGAUCGUUGUUUGGACUUGCUUUUCGAUUUCCAGCAUUCUUUUGUUCCUUUUAGUAGGCAAGAACCUAUAUAAACAAGAAAAGUCUGUUAGUAGAAAAAAUUUCAUAUUUAAUUACAGAGAGAUUUGACAAGCGCAAAAGUAAGUUUUGAACGUGGAAAUGUGAUGUACCUUGAUCCUGGUAUAUAAAUUGAUCGUCCUUUUUCGAUUACAUACUCAGCUUGUUCUUUCUGAAGUUCAAAUACUGUUCUUCCUUCUUCAUAGCUACUCCCAAAUGCUGUACGAGAUAUGACUUCACUAGCCAUUAUUUGAAGGUCUGGCCAUACAUCGAGUUCAAAUGAUGUUCCCUUUGGAACAAUUUCCUCCCAUUUGCUUAGCAUUUCACUACAACUCACAUAAAAUGCUGGCAGCAUAUGCUGUAAAUGAAAAAACCAGCAAAUGCUUGUUAUAAAAUUAGUUGUCUUACUUCCCUUCUAAGUCUCUUUAAAAAAGAACGUUUCUUUCUAUAUAAUAUAUCCUACAUGGAAUGUUUAGACCACAAGAUUUAAAUGAUAUUUUGGUAUAUUAUACACAACAUCUAUAGUUUAAGACCACAAGAUCCAAGAGACUCCCUUAUUUUCUUAACCAUUGUCCUUGCCCAAUCAAACUACAACAACAUACUCAGUGUAAUCCCACAAGUGAGGUCUGAAAAGGGUGGUGUGUACGUCGACCUUACCCCUACCUUGUAAAGGUAGAGAGGUCAAGUAUAACAAUUCAAAAUAGGUUUGAAAAGCUAAUGAAGAAAAAACGUUGAAAAUAAUGGAGAAGGGAACAAAUAUAACGGAAGGAGUAAUAAAGUAGAACCUUUAACUUCUCUACGUGGAACACGGGAUUGAUGAUUUUUCUGUGUUUGGCCCAUUUGUCUCCAUCAAUGGCUGAUAGACCGUCAGCCAAUAACUUGGUCAUUGGAUUGACAUGACGCUGCUUUACAUACACAUAAUUCUUUGUGAAAAUCUCUUUUACAUGUUCAGGAUCUGUGAUCAACACUGUUGGAUAUGGGCCUAGCCACACAAAAGAACUUUUACCUGCCAGUAAUCUGUUUCCGAUUAGAAAAAAAGAAGAAGAAGGUAUAGCACAUAAACAAACACUCAAAUUUGAUUUCAGUCGACAAAUAAUCACUCCAACUUUGAGGUUCAAAUCUAGACACCUCAACUUAGUCUCAACUAGCAACUAAACGCUUCACUCGUCUCCACUGUGUCUUAUAGACACCCAACGCUAGCGUAACACAUAAAUAUUACACGUGUCUAAAUGAUCAUCACAUAAUAGAGACAAGUUGAAGUGUUAGAUGUGCAUACUCAAAGUUGCGGUGUUUACUUUCCAACUGAAUCAAUAAAAGAAACAUAUACCAUUUUUGUUGAUGGAGUUGAGGAAAAAGGGAUGAGUCUUUGAGCUAUAUCAUCAGAGAAAUUGAUAGGCUUAGACUUUGCUUCAACUAUACUUUUUGUGAAUUCAUUCAAAUCUCCAUAGAGUAACUUAUAUGGAUUUCCUUUUAGACCCCUUUGCCUUAAGAUAUUCUCCAAUUUUUUUGGCCUAAACCAUGCCCAAUUCAACACUCUCCAUGUAAAUACCAACAAUAUUGCAACACAAAUUGUUGCUAUAAUUGUGUUGGACAAAAUCUCCAUCAAAUUAUCUUUCUAGCUGUUUAUUUUUACAUAGAAAAAAGAGGGGAAAUAGCUAAUUUACCUUUUUGAUUUGUUGUUGUUUCGACAAGAUAAGGCCUAGCUGUUCUCUCCACCACAAAUACAUCAUGGUACCAUACUAAUAAAGAGUUUUGUCCAAUCUGUUUGGAUCCACUGAUCAAUUUUAUGAUUUUUCUAGGAAAAUUAAUAAGCGGAUUUCUUAUUUAUUUUCUUCUACUCUAUAUAAAUGUAUAUAUAUCCCUCGUCAUAUUGGGAGAAAUAUAUUUGGACUUAAAGUAUAACUGAAAGGGUAUAUUUGGAAUUCUACCCAAAGGUAUAACAAGGAGUAUAUUUAAACUAUUUCUUUUAGCACUAGAGUAUAUUUGGUCGUUUCUCCAUAUAUAUAAUCUAGAAAAAUACUAUGGGAGGCAGGGAUGGGGCCUAGGAAUUGUGAGGGUGAAGAAGAGGUGUGUUGGAAGGUCAAGAAGACACAAUCAAUGUGAAAUGUCACUUGUGAUACUUGUUUUUCCUACUUCUACUACAAAAGUCAUAUUCCAGCUCAUUUUUAAGUAAUUUUCGUAAAAAAAAUGUAUUCCAAAAUUUUGAUCAAUCAAAAAUGAAAAAAUUGAAAUUUCUCCGUACCAAACACACACACAUAUAAGUAAAUAAAAAUGUAUUGUUAUUCCUCUUAAAUUUUACAAAAAACAAAAUUAUGUCAUGAGUUAUUGAACUUAACCAGCUGUAGCCAUGAUAUCUUACCAAUCACAUUUGCUCAAGGCAUACAACUUAACAAUAGGAUCUUUACCCUACCAUGAAUCCAAAAUCAACUAAUUUGUAACCCCAAAAACCCAAAUCUGGUUUAUCAUUUCCAAAUACCCACAACACCUCCUCUCUAGCACAUACUUGCCACUCCGGAGGUAGGCAGAGGCGAAACCAAGAUUAAGAAUUUGGGGGUUCUAAAUUUUUUUAAUAACUGUCAAUCAAUUUUGUUAGGAGUUCACAAAUUAAUAUACAUAUAUAUUUAAUUAAUUUUUUAGUACAAAUAUAAGGUCUACAAAAAAGCUACUGAAUUUAUCUGAACCCAUGAACCUCACCUAGCUCCGCAUCUGGACGUAGGCACAACAAAAUCAUUGUACAUACGAGCAACACUGAAGUGGCCUCUUGUCCAGCAAAAUAGAAUAACUUGCACUCUACACCAUACAAAUAUUUCAGACAAUUAUUUUUUAAGUAUCCUAUCAAAUCAAACCAACUCAUCUCAAAUAGACUAACUCAUUCAUAUCUACACAGAGUCUUAAUCAGUAUCAAUAUGAUGUAUACGUUCAGAAAAAUGUGAAGAUAGAUUUUUGUCACCACUCUAUCCACCAUAUAUAUAUAUAUAAAAUAAGGCACUCAAAAAAAAAGAAGAAAGAAUUAAUCAAAAAUCAGGACCACAUAAAAGAACAAAAUUAAUUUAUUUUUUAAAAAAAAAAAAACUAGCUUCUUUUAUUACUUCCUCUCCCCCAAUCAAUAUCACUCACUUUAAAUAUUACUAUAUGUCCCUAAUUACUUGUCCACUUUUGAAUUGACACACUUAUUAAGAAAAUAAUUAAUGACAUAGUGAGUUUAUCAUUUUACCCCUAUUAAUUAUGAAGUGGAUGAAAAGUUCUACAUUUUCAAAAUAAUUAGUCAUUAAAUUGAGGGUAUAAUAGGUAAAAAGAAUUUGUCCUUUCUCGAUUUGUCAAAAUGGACAAGUAAUUAGGGACAACAAUAAAAGGAAAAGUGGACAAAUAAUUAGGGACAUAGGGAGUAUUAGCAGAAGAAACUCAAAGGACUAAGAAAAUAAUUAAAUGCUUGGAAUGUGAAAAGGGAGUAAAUAUGAAGUAGAAAUGUUAGUGCCUUUAAAAACUUUGUGCUCAAAUAUUGCCAUGUAAUGUCAGAUUCCAAUUAAAUCUCUUACCUCUUAAUUACACACAAGUUCAUAAAAAUUAAAACGUUUUGGAUUUUCUUUCAAUUUUUAAUUAAAAGUCUUUUAAAUAAACAUUAAAUAUGAAAGAGAAAUACUCCCUCUGUCCCUAAUUACUUGCCCACUUUUGAAUUGAUACACCUAUUAAGAAAAAUUAUUGACAUAGUGAGUUUACCAUUUUACUCCUAUUAAUUAUGAAGUGGAUGAAUUAAAAACUUAAUAUUUCAAGAAGUUCUACAUAUUUCAAAGUAAUUAAUUGAGGGUAUAAUAGAUAAAAAUUGUAUCAUUUUUUUAUUUGUCAAAAUAGACAAGUAAUUAGGGACAACUAAAAAAGGAAAUGUGGACAAGUAAUUAGGGACAUAGGGAGUAUGAGUGUAUUAUAAAACUUCUUGCUCAAAUGUUGUCUUAUUCUAUAAAUAAUCAUAUUCCAACUAAAUCUCUUACCUCUUAAUUACACACCAAAUUCAUAAAAAUUAAAACGAUUUAUUUUACUCUAUUGUUUUUGAAUUAAUUUCCUAUCUUUUUUCUUCUUAUUUAUAUAAUGAUAACAUAAUAAUAUACUAAUAUUUUAUAUGUAUAAAAAAUCAGCCCACGUAAUAGUAAUAUAUCAUGCCUUCAAUAUUGAGUUUUAAUUCCUCAAUAAACUGAAUAAUUAAUGGAUAGUGAAUGUCUAUGUUUCUUCAUCUUUCCCCUUCCUAUAACCCCCAUAUAUUCAACAAUUACACUUACAUUUACUUUUUACAUCAAAUUUUGGGAACAAUGAUUUUUAAAUAAUAUUGUUGCAUAUAUAUAUUUUUCAUUCCUUUUCAACAAUAGUGUAUGUUAUGCUGAUUAAUAAAUAGUGUAUAUGUGAUGCUGAUAUAUAAUAAAAGAAAAGGUAAUGCAAAUAGAGAGGUGAUCGUAUAGGUACGUAAUUCUUUUGUCCACUUUUAAUUAAUUUAUUUUUGGAUGAGGGAGAAUGCUUUUAUGAUGAUAUGAAAAUUUUGAUUAAUAUCUAUUUGAUAUUUUUUUUGUUGUGAUAAAAAACUGUAAUUAAUUAAUUUUUAAAAGAAUAAAAAUAUCUAAUAUCUUUCUAUGGAUAUUUUCGCUUUUCUUCAUUUGACAUGACACUUUUCCAAUUUUAAUAUUUAAUCAUAAUAUGCUAUGAUUAUUAUUUAAUAUUUAAUUAAUUAGAUAUUUUAUAAUAUACUAAAUUAAGUGUAGGGGAAAAAUGAUAUUUCAACUUUUACUUUAUGUGGUUUUCCACUUUUAGUAUAAUAUGAUAUGAUAUGAUGAUUAGUACUACGUAGUAGUAUACGGACCACUACUCGAAAUCUUGGUGCAACUAAAGCGAGCUUACUAAAGACAAGGACGGAGUAACUUCCACUAGACUAGUUAAGCCUACUACUUGGAUAAGUUAGUUCAUUUCGGAAAUCUUGCCGUAACUACUAACCCAUAUAGGGUUAAUGAACCUUCUGUAACCCCUUAACUAAAUAUAUUAUAUAAUCUUGUUAUCCAAAAAAAAUCACUUUAAUUAGUAGACUAUUAGCUACCUAAGAUGGAGAACCUCACAUAUUUUCAGAAAGGGGCUAAAACUAAAACCCAAAUCUCAGAUAAAUAUGAAAUUUGAAUCUUACCUGGCAAAAUGUGUGAAAUACACCCAAGUCACGCCGUCGAGGUAAAAUUCAAGUAAUUAUUUGUUCAAGUUUGGGAUAGUUAAAGUGCCUACUUGUACACUAGCAAAGUUAAACAUACAAAGUUAAAGUGCCUACUUUUGCACCAGUAUAUCGAUCCAAAUGAUGCAUGUAGAUCAACGUACAACACCAACGACGUAAAAUAUCAUCUUAAAGUUUGUGCAUAAGGAGAGGAGCACCAUACUGAGGAUGAAUAGUCACUACUGCAAAUGGAGCAUGUGUAUAUGAUGGUGAUAGUUCAAAGGAAAACCUUUGUAGUAUCAUUGCUAUCGCCAUUUUUGCUUCCAUCAUUGCAAAGUUUUGUCCGAUGCAAACACGCGGUCCCCAGCUAAAUGGGAUAAACGAGACUUGUCCUUUUGUUGCCUUUGACACUCCUUCACUGAAUCUUUCUGGUUUGAAUUCCUUUGCGUCUUCACCCCAUAUCUCCUUAUCAUAAUGUACUAGGAUUGUGGGUAUAACAAGUAGCACUCCGGCUGGUAGAUUUAGCUCCCCCAAUUUC